UACGUAGGGUGCAAGCGUUGUCCGGAAUUAUUGGGCGUAAAGAGCUCGUAGGCGGUCUGUCGCGUCGGCUGUGAAAACCCGGGGCUCAACCCCGGGCCUGCAGUCGAUACGGGCAGACUAGAGUGCGGUAGGGGAGACUGGAAUUCCUGGUGUAGCGGUGAAAUGCGUAGAUAUCAUUUGGAACGCCAAUGGUGAAAACAGGCAGCUGGGAGUGUGCUGACGCUGAGACACGAAAGCCAGGGGAGCGAACGGG
rnacentral:rRNA from 1 species